UUUUUGUUUUAAUAACGUAGAUUAUGUAUAGAGGGUUUCCGUGAGAAGGAAAAGGGAAAUCCUCAUUAUCUCCGUCACAGAAAUCAGUCGGUGACGACGGAGAACAUGAUAUUCGAUUCCACCCCUAGCAUUGCCAUCCCUAGAGAAAACCAUCAAAUCCAAUUCUAAAGUAAUUUCGUUAUUUUCCUUUUUCACGCUUUUUCCAGAACACCGCCAUCAUAUAAUCCUAAUUCCUCUCAACAUCGCUAUUCAAAAUUCUCAUCUACUUCUUCUCUUGCCUGUCUUAACCCUGCAUUAUUGACCCCUCUCUUCCUACCUCUCCUUCGACAGCAUAAGCAGAUCCACAUUAGUAAACCUAUUUUUUUCGACUUUCUGGUGUUUUGUUUUUGACCUGACGCCUAUUUCUUGCAAAAACCUAGGAAGAUCUUUCUGGGCUGAGGUAUGAUUUGGGAAAAACUCUAAAGAUCUUUCAUAUUACUACUAUAUGAAAUUGUUUUGAGAAUAUUUGCUGUUUAAAUUUGAAAAAAAAAAAAAAGUUUGUAGUUUCUUCUAGAAAAAAUGUUAGGUGCAUUGCCAAUUCUUCCUCUUCCUGAACCUCCUUCUGAUGGGGAUCUUGGCCCUCUUCCCCCAUCUCAAGUGACGGAGCAGAAGGAAGAGAAACCUUCAAAUGAGGAGCAGAGCAAAACUAACUCAGCUUCUGCAUCAGUUGCAACCCACACAAGAACAAUUGGAAUCAUACAUCCACCUCCAGAUAUCAGAAAUAUUGUUGAUAAAACUGCUCAAUUUGUUGCUAAGAAUGGACCUGAGUUUGAGAAGAGGAUUAUUGCCAACAAUGCAAACAAUGCAAAAUUCAAUUUUUUGAGUAGUGCGGAUCCUUACCAUGCAUAUUAUCAACAUCGGCUGGUCGAAUUUCGUGCACAGAAUCAAUCUUCUUCCCAGCAUGCUCCAUCUCAACCUGCAGAUACUUCUGUGCUCGAAUCAGCUCCAUCAGCUCCGGCUGCUGAUAGUAAGAGUGCUGAAGCAAAGCCAGAUACUGUUGCCCAGUUUAAGCUACCCAUACGAAAAGUUCUUGAGCCCCCAGAAGCAGAGCAGUAUACUGUGCGGCUUCCUGAAGGGAUUACUGGUGAAGAACUGGAUAUCAUUAAGCUCACAGCCCAGUUUGUAGCUCGUAAUGGAAAAUCAUUCUUGACAGGAUUGACUAGUAGGGAGAUCAAUAACCCGCAGUUCCAUUUUCUGAAGCCAACACACAGUAUGUUUACAUUUUUCACUCAACUUGCUGAUGCAUAUUCAAAAGUCUUGAUGCCUCCGAAGGGGUUGACUGAGAAAUUGAAGAAGAGUGUUGCUGACAUGACAAUGGUCCUUGAACGAUGCUUGCAUCGUCUGGAAUGGGAGCGUUCACAGAAGCAAGCAAGGCAGAAGGCGGAAGAUGAGAUUGAGCAGGAGAGGAUGCAAAUGGCUAUGAUUGAUUGGCAUGAUUUUGUUGUUGUUGAGACAAUAGACUUUGCGGAUGAUGAGGAUGACGACCUACCUGCUCCUAUGACUCUUGAGGAGGUUAUAAGAAGGAGUAAGGUAUCUCCUAUGGAAGAAGAUGAUAUUCCUGAACCUGGAAAAGAGGUAGAAAUGGAAAUGGAUGAAGAAGAGGUGCAGCUUGUUGAAGAGGGCAUCAGGGCUGCUAGUCUCGAGGAGAAUGAUGAUGAAAAGAAAGCGACCAAGGCAAAUGAGGAACCAGAACCGCCAAUGAGAAUUGUGAAGAACUGGAAGAGACCUGAGGAGAGGAUCCCCGCAGAAAGAGAUCCAACAAAGUAUGUUGUUUCUCCCAUUACUGGUGAGCUCAUUCCUAUUAAUGAGAUGUCUGAACACAUGAGAAUUUCCCUUAUUGAUCCAAAGUACAAGGAGCAAAAAGAAAGGAUGUUUGCUAAGAUUCGAGAGACAACUCUUGCUCAGGAUGAUGAGAUCUCGAGAAAUAUUGUGGGACUGGCACGGACACGUCCUGAUAUCUUUGGUACCACAGAGGAAGAAGUUUCUAAUGCAGUCAAGGCCGAGAUUGAGAAGAAAGAUGAACAACCAAAGCAGGUCAUAUGGGAUGGUCAUACUGGAAGCAUUGGGCGAACAGCAAAUCAAGCCAUGUCUCAAAAUAUGAAUGGAGAUGAUCUAAAUGAUGCUGCCAACAGUGACUUCAGAAACCUACCUGGUCCUGCAGCUCCUCCUCCUCGAUCUGGUUUUCCUUCUUUGCGUCCUCUCCCCCCACCAGCAGGACUUGCCUUGAAUCUUCCACAUGGGCCUUCAAACACAAUCCAAUACCCACCUCCAACUAGUGGUGCUAUGCCAGUACCUCAACCAAGGCCAUAUACCAUGCAGGUGAUUCCAUCAAUCCGCCCAUCCACUCCUUCAAUGCCAUUGACAGGACAGCAACACGUCAUGUUGAGUCGUCCACCACCACUGCCUCCAUCAAUUUCUGUGAAUCCAUCUGGUGUGCCUGUACCUCCCCCACCUGGAUCCCAGUUUAUGCCCAUGCCAGUUCCCCAACCUUAUGCCCAUCUCCCAGUCCCUCCUCCUCCUUCCAUGCCUAUGAUGCAGCCGCCACCUUUGCCUCAAGGAAUGCCUCCUCCGCCACCACCAGAAGCUCCUCCUCCACUUCCUGAUGAACCAGAGCCAAAGAGGCAGAAGCUUGAUGAUUCUAUGCUUAUUCCUGAAGAUCAAUUUCUGGCCCAACAUCUUGGACCUGUUCGCAUCAAUGUGUCUGUUCCUAAUGUUGAUGAAGGAAAUCUCAGAGGACAAGUCCUGGAGAUUACGUUACAGUCUUUAUCUGAAACUGUUGGCAGCUUGAAGGAGAAAAUUUCUGGGGAGAUACAACUUCCUGCAAACAAGCAGAAAUUGAGUGGAAAAGCUGGUUUCCUUAAGGACAAUAUGUCGCUGGCAUAUUAUAAUGUUGGAGCAGGGGAAGCACUUGCCCUUUCUUUGAGAGAACGUGGUGGUAGAAAGAGAUAAUGGGUUCUUAACAGGGCUUUUUAUAAGGUUUUUGUUGGAUUUUCCUUGUUACCAUUAGAGUUUUACAAUUUCCCCAUAUUAUGGCUGGAGUCUUAUUAUAUUUAACCUUUUUUUAUGUUAUACGUUGGAGAUUAUGUUGUCAUUUACCUUUAGGGUAACUAUUUGGGACCUCUUAUUGGAGUUUAUGAAACUGAUGAUAAAUUUGAUAUCUGCUACAGAUCCAGCUUCUUGGCACGUCUCCCAGGUGCAAUGAAAAAUAAAGGAGUUCGUUUUGCUUAUCCUGAGCCAGUCUUCUACUUAUUCUACUAUUUAAUUGCUUGCUUUUGCAUCUUAAUUAAAUUCUCAUGAGAUUCUAUUCAAGUCAUAUCAUUGUCUACACUAUCCAUUAGUAGGAUUGUCUCAGUGUUGAACAUACUCAGAAAUAUUAUUUCCUGAGUCUAUUUCUAAUUCUAUUAUUGCAAGUCUUGAUCCUGUACAAUACAGUGAUUUAAAGGCCUUUUAUUGUUUUUCUUUUUGUGCUAGAAUUCAUGCAUUGUUUGUAGGAACCUUGGGUUGCACCUGGAUGUGAUGAGUAGAAGGUUUAUUUUAGUUUGUGCCAAGAAUACAAACUUUUAUAUGAAGCUACUUGUUUGGACACUGCAAUGGUGUAUGCAAGUUAUCAGGUUUAUGACAGACAGAUUGAGUUUUGUUGCUUUCCGUCCUGGUUGCCGAAGGUACUGGCUUGCAUAUAUGACAAAUUGGUGAAGCAGUUCCAUAGAUUUGUCACUUUCUUGUUCUUUGCGGCAUUGAGGAAGUGUUGUUUCAACUUGGAGGCAGCCUCAAGUGAUCUCUGUUUUCUUCCUUCCAUUGGGUUUUUUUUCAUUUUUUGGUUUAAGAAUAUGCGUGCUGCUGUUUUAUAAACUUAAUUUGAGCAGACCAAGUGAAGAGAAUUUUGUAUUUGUGAGUUUAAGUUUUUGAGA